UCCUCUCAGUCCUGGGGAGUCAGGUUUAGUGCUAAUAGUCCAGGGAUGGAAUAACCUUUAAUUUUAAUGCUUGAAAAACAUGUGCUGUGUGCAUAAUGAUUCCUGUGCUGGUACCAAAGAGCGCUCUUUCUUUCUUUUUUUCUCUCUCUCUCUAUCAUCGGGGCUAGUGAAUUGCAGAGGAGGGCAAGGCUCCAGCCAGACACUGUAGCAGCAGGACUUCCAGAGGCACCUCUCUCUCUCCGACCCCUAAGACCUCCGCCAUUCCUCCUCAUCCCAGCCGAGCCUGCUCUGCACUACCUCAGAUCACAGGCGGGGAUGAUGAAAAGCUUGUCGGGGAGACAGCGCCCUGCUUCAAAAAAAUCUGCAUUUUCUCAGAUUGUGAGGUUGACACCACAGCAAACCCACACCCGGUUUGAUGAGGGAGCACCGAAAGGCACAGAUUAAAACUAGAGGAGAAUACAAGAUCCGUCAUUCCUGUCGUACGAAAAUCAAAGGAAAAUCCGCCCCUUACAUAUCCCUGACUAAGAGCACCAGAUUGUUCUUUAUGCUAAUAUUUUACAAUUGCACUAAUAAAUGAAGAACAUUCCUGUC